rnacentral:snoRNA from 1 species
UCUGCCUCCACAAGUGUUGCAGGUGUGGCUCGUGUGUCACAUGUGCUUCAAUAGGUGGCAGAGAGGAGAGAGGCUAUUUCGAUGCUGAGUAUUCUUUAUGAACAUCUGAUAUAGCCUAACAUU